AAUUUCGGGUAAUCGCGGCAUAUUUUUAUAUGCUGAGGAAAGUCCAGGCUUGCACAGACUGCGAUGUCUGUAGUGAUCGUACUCACUGAAAAAAUAAGGUGGGGCACCAUUUUGGUGACGGCGGAUAAAAGAGCUAAGGCUUAGCUAAGCUUGAGUAGUCCUGAAAAGUGCCACAGUGACGAAGCUGCUUUGGAAACAAAGCAGGUGGAACGCGGUAAACCCUGCGAGCAGGUAACCCAAACUUUGGUAGGGGCGCUUCAAGGCGGAAAUGAACAAACCUUGGGGGCAAGUAGAAAUACUUGGAGAUAGAUGAUUACCACGUUGAUUAGCCGACCUGGGCUAGUUGACGUACGGAACUUGGCUUAUAGAG
rnacentral:RNase_P_RNA from 2 species